UACGGAGGGUGCGAGCGUUGUCCGGAAUCACUGGGCGUAAAGGGCGCGUAGGCGGCGCGGGAAGUCAUCGGUGAAAGCUCAGGGCUCAACUCUGAGUCGGCCGGUGAUACUCUCGUGCUUGAGCACUGUAGAGGCAGGUGGAAUUCCGGGUGUAGCGGUGGAAUGCGUAGAGAUCCGGAAGAACACCGGUGGCGAAGGCGGCCUGCUGGGCAGUAGCUGACGCUGAGGAGCGAAAGCAUGGGGAGCGAACAGG
rnacentral:rRNA from 1 species